rnacentral:lncRNA from 1 species
AAUGCUCCAGAUGCCACAUCUGAAAGAAAUGGUUGCCAAAGCACUCAAGAGAGGAAAUCUCCAGACUUAUCCGUAAGACUUUCCUCUUUGCCUUGGAAAAUUACCAAGCCGGAUAACUUCUCAAAAGUCAGAUUUUCAGAACCCCACAAAGCACAUGGAGUGCUUCCCUGUCACCUCCCUUUCAUGUAUGUUUUCGAUGUGAGCUGCACUGUUAAUGACUUUUUGUAAAUCCCGAGUUAUGGCUUGGAGAAAGGCGUGCUGCUAGGUGGUGAUAUGAUUUCACUGGGUUUCUUCGUCGCCACCAGGAACCUCACGCAGCCCGUGGGCACGCCAGAGCUCAGCAGUGAAAUGUUCAGAAGAGCCCAUUUAAACCUUGGCACCGCAUCGCUGCAUUUGGGGGAUUUGUAACCUUUGCCAGCUUAUCAUAAACACCAUGCUUCGGUGGCGCUUGCUGUGGCUGUAACACAGAUCGGCACCUUCUGACUUCUGCUGUCUCUGCUGACUUCAUUUCAGAGAUUUCAGCGGAGCACGGGCACGGUGAAAUCACCAUUCAGCAGAGCAGGGAGAAGCAACCUCAAACCAGCCCUUCCUCCUGAGAUGUGACCUCCCAAGCCACGUAGCAAUGAGUUCGGUACUGACCUUCACACAAAGUUUGGUGUCCCCAUGCCAUCCAAUUGCAUGUCAUUUCUGUUGGUUUUGUGAAGACUAAACAGAUGUCUCCCAUGGAAAGAAAACAAAACAGAAAACUGGAAGAGCAGGAGCCUUUCCCCAGCCUGGGGAGCCGGACCCAAGGGGGGAGGUCCCGUGCCCUGCUCCUGGUGGUUUUUCUGGAGGUUUUGUCUUAUUGUUCCUCCUGCCUUGGGGCAGGGGCUCCAGUCCUGCACUUCAGGGCCGGUCCAUCAAAGGAAGUGGUGGCCUUGUGGCCCAAGGCGAACAAGUCGAUGAGGCUUUACGAAGACCUUUGCAUUUCCAAAGCUGCAGCUGUAGCUGUGCUGCGUUCCUGCCUGGCUCCAGAUGGAAGUGUGUUAGCUUAAAUCACCGAGGCUGGCUUUAAAGCAGCUAUCCCGAGCCUGCUCUGCAGCCUGUGCAGUUCCCCAGCCUGGAAUUGUGCAAUUGGUUAUUUCUACGUAAGUACAGUAUUCUGCAUGGUCUUUGCUAAAUAAGAUUAAUUUUUCUUUUUAAGAUUUCUUCAGUUUGUCGAGACCUGAUUGAAUUUUACUUCUGUCCUCAUGCAUGUUUGCAGUCCCUCCCUGCACAGUGUUAUCAGCAAAUCUCGCAUGUGUUCUUUCUUCUGUCAUCCAAGUCAUUAAUGAAAAAACUAAUAAUGCUG